UUUAUUCGGACAAGUUCACUUUGUGUCCUGUGUGGAAAGUCUUCAUAAACCGGUUACUAAUAUAAAUGGGCACAUCUUGCUAGUGUUCCUACAACAACCAAAGAUGGGUGCCAUUUCAUCUUUACUUUGUUUCUUUUUGAUCCAUUUUCUGCUAUUAUCAUCUCAUAGUAGCUACAUCUGCAAUGCUCUUGAAUGGUCUUCUUCUGAUGCAAUUUCUUCAAAUGAUUUUCCUAACUACAAGGUGGGGUCAUUGAGAAGGCGAAUACCAUCGCCACCACCUCCCAGGGUCAAUCCUCAUCUUCAUUUCAGCCCUCCUCCUCCGCGGGCACCGCCGCCUCCACCAUAUUGAUGCUUCUGAUUUGUGACUGCCACUGCUGCGCUGCUUGCACACCAAUGUAUCAUAACAGCACCAUGAUACAUGAGUUUUUUCCAACUCCAAGGUUGUUUUGCUUUGCUUCCGUGCUGUUGUUAUCCAUAUUAGAAUAUUGUAAUCAGAAUAAGAGCAAAA
rnacentral:lncRNA from 1 species